UCUUUGAUGGUCUAACGGUUAUGAUUUCCGCCUGUCACGCGGGAGACCGGGGUUCGACUCCCCGUCAGAGAG
rnacentral:tRNA from 1 species